AUUGAACGCUUGCGGCAGGCCUAACACAUGCAAGUCGAGCGAGCGGCGGACGGGUGAGUAAUGUAUGGGGACUGCCCGAUAGAGGUGGAUAACUACUGGAAACGGUAGCUAAUACCGCAUACUAUCGGAUAACCCAUAUGGGAUUAGCUAGUAGGUGAGGUAAUGGCUCACCUAGGCGACGAUCCCUAGCUGGUCUGAGAGGAUGAUCAGACACACUGGGACUGAGACACGUCCCAGACUCAUACGGAGGCAGCAGUGGGGAAUAUUGCACAAUGGGCGAAAGCCAGAUGCAGCCAUGACGCGUGUAUGAAGAAGGCCCUAGGGUUGUAAAGUACUUUCAGUCGGGAGGCGUUACCGACAGAAGAAGCACCGGCUAACUCCGUGCCAGCAGCCGCGGUAAUUC
rnacentral:rRNA from 1 species